rnacentral:rRNA from 1 species
AUUGGAUUGAGAACAACGUACAACUCUUAUCGAUAAGCCAUUGGAGGGCAAGUCUGGUGCCAGCAGCCGCGGUAAUUCCAGCUCCAAUAGCGUAUAUUAACGUUGUUGCAGUUAAAAAGCUCGUAGUUGAAGUGAGGGAGUGUGUAGUAGGACCGACUUGAUCGGAACUGCUGCAACCUCCCCCCUCCAAUCGGUGUAGUGGGGUAUUCAGUUAUUCUACUACUCCUUUGGUCGUUUACUGUGAGAAAAUUAGAGUGUUCAAAGCGGGCGUUUGUUUGAAUAGAUUAGCAUGGAAUAAUGAUUGAAGGCUUUCGUGUUCGAUUUGAUUGGUUUGUUCAUGGAAGCAAGGUUAAAAGGAACAGUUGGGGGUAUUCAUAUUCACUAGUUAGAGGUGAAAUUCUCGGAUUUAUGGAAGAUGAACAAGUGCGAAAGCA